rnacentral:misc_RNA from 1 species
AAGUACUAGCUGUAUAUCGAUUUAUCAAGUCAUAAAUCGUUGUAUCGUAAAAAAGCUCGAAAUAUCGUCCAUGUACGUACGAUAAAUCUAAGCAUACCAUCUAUACCUUUCUCCAUUGCUUCCACUCUAUUAUUGCACCAGGUAUCUCAUGGAGUUGCGUUGUAACUUGUGCCCAAAUCGUUCGCCCAUUUUUAUAUGCAGAGCUGGCGGAAGACUUUCCACUCUAUAAUUCAGGAUGUUUACCCACGAAGUCUGUAAUUGAAAUACAUACGACAAAAUACUGUAUUUAGAGUUUAGUAAACACGAGUUAACAUCAGUUGGCCGAAAAUGUAUUUAG